CUUGUACUAUAGUGCUCUAUGUACCCGAUUGUAUGUAAAUGAGGCUGUUGGGGGUUUAAAUGUGUGUGCUAUGUCUAGUAAAGUCAGUUGCUGUUUUAACCUUCACCAAGUGUCGUCUGGUGUUUGGUCCAGGGUGGAAAAGGCCCUCAGUGAUCCACGUCAAGCCUCGGCGACUGGCUUUUGACUGGAUUUGACGAACGGCUAGGUGGUCACCAUUCG